rnacentral:rRNA from 1 species
UACAGAGGUCUCAAGCGUUGUUCGGAUUCAUUGGGCGUAAAGGGUGUGUAGGUGGCGCGCUAAGUCGGGUGUGAAAUUUCGGAGCUUAACUCCGAAACUGCAUUCGAUACUGGCGUGCUUGAGGACUGGAGGGGAGACUGGAAUUCCGGGUGUAGCGGUGGAAUGCGUAGAGAUCCGGAAGAACACCGGUGGCGAAGGCGGUGAGCUGGGCAAUUGCUGACACUGAGGCGCGACAGCGUGGGGAGCAAACAGG